UCUUCCCUCUUACAUGAUUGUCUUUGGUAGUUGCUUUGCUCUGUUCUUAUUUUCUCUUUUAUUGCUCCGUUCCUUCGAAGCCUCUUCUUGGUUUUGCUCUUCUUGAUACAGAUUGGUCAGGUGAGCUUUUUCUUUUACUGAACUAUCUCAUCUAUAAUGCUGUUUAUUCCAAUAUGUUUUUUUGGUCGAUCAUUCGUGGACUAACUCAGCUUUACUUACUUUGUUUAUGGGUGUUUUAUAUUUUGCCGUUGCAUUAAGGUAAGCCUAUUUUAAAUUUCCUGUCUUCUUUGAUUCUUUAUUCUACCUUUCAUUUAUCCAUUAUUUGUUCUUAUUUGUGUUCUGCCUUUUUCCCCUGUUUUCCCUUUACAUUUUGCAUGAGCUUUCUUCGUCUGUGGUUGCUGUAAGGAACUUUCUUUCUUUGUCACUAGACACUUGCAAAUUGGACUGUUCUGUGAGCCACCGAAUGUUUUGCUUCCACUCAAAAGAGUGACAAUAAUUGUGCUUUUUCUUCAAUGGUUGGGCCUAUUUUCCACCUUGCCUAACCUUUUAAACUAUACCUGCUUCUUUGACUUUGCCGUCGAUUUUCCUUCUUGUUCGUAUGGUGUUAGGAGCUGUUUUUCUUCUCAGAAGGUGAUGGGAUUUGGUGGAUGACGAGCUCAAGAAGGUAAGGGGCUAGUAAUCUUCUGUCUUGGUUACUCUUUCCAUUUUUCUCUUUUUUCUUCAUCUCCCUUUUCCCUCCUACCUCUCUCGAGUAAUAAUAGUUAGUUUCUUCUAUUUUUUUGCCUUUUUUUCCCUAAUCUUUUUUUUCCUUUGCUAAAAGCAACAAAUCAUUUUCUCCUCUCCUCUGCGUCUCUGUUUGUUAUGUUCUCAGAUAUUUUGCUAUUAAGAAAACUUCAUUUUUUUUGGGCUUUGUAAUCACUGAAUCUCCACUAUACUUAAUUUUCUGACAUGCUUCAUUUUUUCCCAUCUUUUAAGGAUUUAGCUUGCAUGUUUCAUCAAUAAAUAUUUUCAUCAUUUUAAUCUGGACUUGGAUAAUAGCUACAUUUUUUGUCCAUUUUUUCCUUUUGUUAGGUGGGAAAAGAUGAUGAAGAUUGGAGAUGAAUUGAUGAUG
rnacentral:lncRNA from 1 species